GUGGGUAUGCCGGAGUGGUCAAACGGGCAAGACUUAAGAUCUUGUGGCUUAGUGCCUGCGAAGGUUCGAACCCUUCUACCCACA
rnacentral:tRNA from 1 species